rnacentral:rRNA from 1 species
AUGAAUCAAAAUGCUUGCAAGCACCUUGCUGGGGUUGUUGAAGAAUAUAAGAAGUUCAAUGCUGAUUUUCAGCAUUGUAUAUAUAAUAUUAAGGAAGAAGAUGAUUUUAUAAAUGAAUGGAAUAGAAUAGUAGACAUAUAUGGUCUAGGUGACAAUACAUGGCUGCAAAGGCUGUUUGAGAAAAGGGAGCAAUGGGCACUAGUGUAUGGCAGAAAUACAUUCUCAGCCCACAUGAGCACUACCCAAAGAAGUGAAAGCAUGAAUAAUGAACUAAAGCGGUACAUUAGUAUUAAAUAUGACAUGCUUACUUUCUUCGAGCAUUUUGGCCGGCUAGUUGCAGAUAAAAGAUUUGUAGAGGUGAAGUGUGACUUCAAGGCAUCACAAACUACUCCCAAGCUAAAGGCAAUAGAUAGCUAUGUACUAAGGCAAGCUGCAACUACAUAUACUCCAGAAAUAUUCAAGAUGUUUGAGGAGCAAGUGCUUCGGACCCUCAACUAUGACACAUUUCUUUGUGAUGAUAGUGACAAAGAGCAGAAGGUUUAUACAGUAAAAUUUCAUGGCACACAACGUGAGCAUGUUGUCCAAUUUGACCCAAAUGAAGAGAAAGUCAAUUGUAGUUGCAAGAAAUUUGAAUUUGCUGGAAUCCUCUGCUCUCAUUGCUUAAAGAUACUUGAUAUUAAUAAUAUCAAGCAUAUCCCUAAACAGUAUGUAUUGAAUAGAUGGACAAUUGAUGCCAAAGUGCUAGAGAUAACAAGCAAUUGCAAUCUGCAUGAGGAUCUAAAAGCAAGAAUGUCUAACUUCUACAAAGACUUGUGCAGAAUGUUUAUCCACAUAGCUGCUCGUGCUGCAGAGUCUGAUGAAACAUAG